rnacentral:lncRNA from 1 species
UGGGAUUACAUUUAAGAUUAAAAAAAUCUUCCUGUGGACAUUAUUCUUUUAUCAUUAGCGUUUCUUGGCCCAAGAUGGCUGCUUGGAGCUCCAGCCAUCAAGUCUGUAUUCCAGGCAGCAGGAAGGAAGAAGAGAGGGUGAUGUUGCAGUCAGUGGCGAGCUUCAGUCCCAGGAGCCUGGAUGAAAGUAGACACAGAACGAGAGAUCAAGGAUGCAACAAGGAAGAAACAUCUUCCCUGUUAGUACCCAGUGAACUGAGACUGGGCUAGAAAAUCACAUCUGUUGUAAAAUCAGAAAGGGUCAUACCUGGAGCAGAUGGAA